GACAGAGGGUGCAAACGUUGUUCGGAAUUACUGGGCGUAAAGCGCGUGUAGGCGGCUAUGCAAGUCGGAUGUGAAAGCCCUCGGCUCAACCGGGGAAGUGCACCCGAAACUGCAAAGCUAGAGUCUCGGAGAGGAUCGUGGAAUUCUCGGUGUAGAGGUGAAAUUCGCAGAUAUCAGGAGGAACACCGGUGGCGAAGGCGGAUCUCUGGGCCGUAACUGACGCUGAGGAGCGAAAGCAUGGGGAGCGAACAGG
rnacentral:rRNA from 1 species